GGACAACCUACCCUUAGGACGGGGAUAAACCCGGGAAACUGGGUAUAAUACCCGAUAGUCCUCGAAUGCUGGAAUGCGUCGAGGACGAAAGCUCCGGUGCCUAAGGAUGGGUCUGCGGCCUAUCAGGUAGUAGUGGGUGUAGCGUACCUACUAGCCUACGACGGGUACGGGUUGUGAGAGCAAGAGCCCGGAGAUGGAUUCUGAGACACGAAUCCAGGCCCUACGGGGUGCAGCAGGCGCGAAAACUUUACAAUGCUGGCAACAGCGAUAAGGGGACCUCGAGUGCCAGGUUACAAAUCUGGCUGUCGUGAUGCCUAAAAAGCAUUACAUAGCAAGGGCCGGGCAAGACCGGUGCCAGCCGCCGCGGUAACACCGGCGGCUCGAGUGGUAACCGUUAUUAUUGGGUCUAAAGGGUCUGUAGCCGGCCGGAUAAGUCUCUUGGGAAAUCUGGCAGCUCAAGUGUCAGGUUGCCAGGGGAUACUGGUCGGCUUGGGACCGGGAGAGGUGAGAGGUACCUCGGGGGUAGGGGUGAAAUCUUGUAAUCCUCGAGGGACCACCAGUGGCGAAGGCGUCUCACCAGAACGGAUCCGACGGCAAGGGACGAAAGCUAGGGGCACGAA
rnacentral:rRNA from 1 species